UGCCCUAAAGAGGUACUGAUCAGUGCCC
rnacentral:piRNA from 1 species